GACGAACGCUGGCGGCGUGCUUAACACAUGCAAGUCGAACGGAAAGGCCCUUCGGGGUCCUCGAGUGGCGAACGGGUGAGUAACACGUGGGUGAUCUGCCCUGCACUUUGGGAUAAGCCUGGGAAACUGGGUCUAAUACCGAAUAGGACCACGCGCUUCAUGGUGUGUGGUGGAAAGCUUUUGCGGUGUGGGAUGGGCCCGCGGCCUAUCAGCUUGUUGGUGGGGUAAUGGCCCACCAAGGCGACGACGGGUAGCCGGCCUGAGAGGGUGACCGGCCACACUGGGACUGAGAUACGGCCCAGACUCCUACGGGAGGCAGCAGUGGGGAAUAUUGCACAAUGGGCGCAAGCCUGAUGCAGCGACGCCGCGUGAGGGAUGACGGCCUUCGGGUUGUAAACCUCUUUCACCAGGGACGAAGCGUAAGUGACGGUACCUGGAGAAGAAGCACCGGCCAACUACGUG
rnacentral:rRNA from 1 species